rnacentral:lncRNA from 1 species
UAUUUUUUUUUUAUUGUUCACGUGGAACCCAUCUGACUGUGUAUUCUCUCCACAGAGUUUGAAUGUUGCUUUCCCCUUUCUGGAUGAUUAUCUGUCCUCUAUUGUAAAGAGAUGAAGACAAGCAGCAUUCUGAGCAACAUUCAGAGGCGUUUCUGACUAAGCUUGGUUAGGAACUGCCAUGACCCAGUGCCUGUUGAAGUAACAGAAUUUCUACUUCAAUAAGGACCAAGUCAGGCUGCACGUGGUCAGAAGCCACUUCUUUUUCCAGAGACUAUAUUCUUCAUGGUGUCUGAUUAGUAAAUUAGGUCCUACUCUGUAGUUUCAUAAGCACUUCAUCCAGAGCUGGAGUCCAUCAGAUUCUAUUAAAUAUUGAUCCUUUAGACCUGAAGAUACUGUGGCUCGGAGAGGGAG